rnacentral:lncRNA from 1 species
AAAGUUAUGAGAAGUGUUGAGAAGAGAAGUCUGGCUGUGCUAGCAGAAGAGUGGGAUCUGAUCCCUAUCUAGGAAAGAGACCUCUAGUGACUUUACAGCAGCCAUUUGAGCCAGUAAGUGAGGCUGCAGAGGGAUUCCACCAGGACCUCUGAUGGGAGGUGGCUGUUACCCAUGCCCAGAGCUCUUAAGAACAGAAAAAUUUAACUUCUCACCAAUUCAGUAAACCAUUCAUUUUCUCAAUAGUACUGUCUUUCCAAAACGAAAUGCUUCGCAGAGGGCUCAUGGUGUUGACGCCUUGAGGACAGCCCUUUUAUUAGUCAUUUCCAGAUAUGUCUGUGACAACUCGAUAGCCCUCCUCGAUCAGUCCCAGCAGAGAAACGACUCACCAGAGUGGAAUUACCUUUAAAAUGAAAGUCACUCCUGCUCACCAGUCCCAGGACUGUUAAGGGGUUGUGCUGUCAAUGCCAUGACCCACUCACUGCCCCUGAAUCUCAGAUGAACUAAAAUGUAUAUCAUAAUAAUGUUCCCAUUAGGCUUUAAGUGACAUGUCCAUCUGCAGUAUUGUGUGUUUGAUGCCAACAUGAGGACAUCUUCAGUUGUUCCCAUGAAAAGUAGUUCUCUUCUUUUGAAACAUGGAGUUGACAAUUUCACCAAUGAGAUGAUCUCAGAAGGGGACAGGCACAUUGUAGCUGUAGGUGUGUGAACCGGGUAAACACAUUCUGAAAAGAUGUGUCCACUGUUGAAUCUCCUUGAUUAAAAGCAUAAGCCUACUAUAACUCAUAUUUUAACCCUCCACCUAAAAAGAUGAGUUCAUAUUUCCAGCCAUUUUCUGUAAGCCAACUGAACCAAUGGUAAAAUAUUUUGUUACUUUUGGAAUGAACUCUGGCUUUCAUGUCAGUGUGAACUUUCCAUCAGAGUAACAUUGACUCUUUGGGCAAAGAACUGCCCUGGUGGAGUAAAUUUCCCUGGACACUGGCGAGUGUGCCUUGGACUGAUUACCUCUUCUACUGCAUUGAAAGGUGCCAUGUUUUCCUGAAUGACUAAAUCCCCCUCAACUUGUAAGUGACCUCCCAGAGUGGCUCACGAACCAUACCUCUCCUAGGGAUGGCCCACAAACAUGUCAUUCGUGACUCAUUUUUCUACUUCCCAAGUCAGUAGAUGUGUUCAAGGUAAGUACAGGAUUGUUCUCGUAGGAAUAGGCGGUUGCUGUCCUGAUUGAUAUCCCCGUCGAUUUCAUUUCAUUGUAAAGAUAAACUUAAACCCGGUUUUGCUUAAGCACAUUGAUGUAAUUUUUUGGUAUUAUUUGACAUGAAAAAAACAGCAAAAUUGAGUGACAGAUACAAUAUGAAACUUGUUGAAUGAAUUCAAAUUUAUUAAAAAAGGACUAACUGAUAAAUGUGAAGACUGAU